CCUCGCCCGACGGGCUGGAUCCCUCCACCAGCAGGGCUGACAAAGAUGAAUGUAGAUGCUGCAGUAGGGAAGGGAAGUAGACAUGGUUCUGUUGCGGCAAUAUCAAGAGAUUCUGCUGGCCAUUUUCUGGGAGCGUCGGCUGUGGUCUUUGGUGGCAUAUCGGAUCCCGCGACCCUCGAAUGCAUGGCGAUCAGGGAGGCGCUGGCCCUUGCUGAUGAUCUGAAUGUGUCAGAUAUACAAGUGGCGUUCGACUCGAAGGUGGUGGUUGAGGACAUCCGAGAGAACAACCCAUCUGCAUAUGGUGCGAUCAUACAAGAAAUAAUAGAGCAUAGAUCAAACUUCCACUUAUGUAAUAUUUGCCAUGAAUUUAGGAGCUUGAAUAUCGAGGCUCACAAUCUCGCGAAGCAUGCUUUAUCCCUUCCGGCUGGCCGACAUGUUUGA
rnacentral:rRNA from 1 species